UGGCUCAGAUUGAACGCUGGCGGUAUGCUUAAGACAUGCAAGUCGAACGGAAUCUUCGGAUUCAGUGGCGGACGGGUGAGUAACACGUGGGAAUCUACUGAGUAGUGGGGGACAGCCCGGCGAAAGCCGGAUUAAUACCGCAUACGCCCUACGGGGGAAAGGCGCAAGCCGCUAUUUAAUGAGCCCGCGUAAGAUUAGCUAGUUGGUAGGGUAAAGGCUUACCAAGGCAACGAUCUUUAGCUGGUCUGAGAGGAUGGCCAGCCACAUCGGGACUGAGACACGGCCCGGACUCCUACGGGAGGCAGCAGUCGGGAAUAUUGGACAAUGGGCGCAAGCCUGAUCCAGCAAUACCGCGUGUGUGAAGAAGGCCUGCGGGUUGUAAAGCACUUUCAGUUGGGAAGAUAAUGACGUUACCAACAGAAGAAGCACCGGCUAACUCCGUGCCAGCAGCCGCGGUAAUACGGAGGGUGCAAGCGUUAAUCGGAAUUACUGGGCGUAAAGCGUGCGUAGGCGGUUUUUUAAGUCAGAUGUGAAAUCCCCGGGCUCAACCUGGGAACUGCAUCUGAUACUGGGAGACUAGAGUGUGGGAGAGGAGAGUGGAAUUUCCGGUGUAGCGGUGAAAUGCAUAGAGAUCGGAAGGAACAUCAGUGGCGAAGGCGACUCUCUGGACCAACACUGACGCUGAGGCACGAAAGCGUGGGUAGCAAACAGGAUUAGAUACCCUGGUAGUCC
rnacentral:rRNA from 1 species